rnacentral:lncRNA from 1 species
CUAAAUAUAUUAACCCGACUAUAGUAGUUUAAGAUAAUGGUUAGGUCUAAGAGGUUAAAGAAUUAAACGUGUCAGGACUAAAGUAAUUCUAGAACGAAUGUACCUUCCUGAAAAGUGGGGUGCCACAAUAGGUACCUCCAAGUGUACCUUAGAAUAUUGCUGAUGACAUAGAAAGGUCAUUAUUAAUUGCACUCUAACUAUUACUUACUAAACCUCAAACAUUAUUAUUAAAUCGUAAGCACCAUCAUUAUACCCCUAUUUCUAAACCAUGCAUACACCCU